rnacentral:rRNA from 1 species
GCAUAUCAAUAAGCGGAGGAAAAGAAACUAACAAGGAUUCCCCUAGUAACGGCGAGUGAAGCGGGAUGAGCUCAAAUUUGUAAUCUGGUGGACUCAGUUCAUCCGAAUUGUAAUCUAUAGAAAAGUUUUCCGCGCUGGACCGUGUCUAAGUCCCUUGGAACAGGGUGUCAGAGAGGGUGAGAAUCCCGUGCUUGAUACGACCACCAGUGCUAUGUGAUACUUUUUCAACGAGUCGAGUUGUUUGGGAAUGCAGCUCAAAAUGGGUGGUAAAUUCCAUCUAAAGCUAAAUAUUGGCGAGAGACCGAUAGCGAACAAGUACCGUGAGGGAAAGAUGAAAAGCACUUUGGAAAGAGAGUUAAACAGUACGUGAAAUUGUUAAAAGGGAAACGAUUGAAGUCAGUCGUGCUCUCUAGGACUCAGCCAGUUCUUCUGGUGUAUUUCCUAGUGAGCGGGUCAACAUCAGUUUAGAUCGCUGGAUAAGGUCAUUAGGAAUGUGGCUCCCUCGGGAGUGUUAUAGCCUAGUGUCGCAUACAGUGGUUUAGACUGAGGAACGCAGCUCGCCUUUAUGGCCGGGGUUCGCCCACGUCCGAGCUAGGA